rnacentral:tRNA from 1 species
GGUAUAGCUCAGUGGUAGAACACAUGCUUAGCAUGCACGAGGUCCUGGGUUCAAUCCCCAGUACC